rnacentral:rRNA from 1 species
CCUACGGGAGGCAGCAGUGGGGAAUAUUGGGCAAUGGAGGAAACUCUGACCCAGCGACGCCGCGUGCGGGAUGAAGGCCUUCGGGUUGUAAACCGCUUUCAGUAGGGAAGAAGCGAAAGUGACGGUACCUACAGAAGAAGCACCGGCUAACUAUGUGCCAGCAGCCGCGGUAAUACAUAGGGUGCAAGCGUUGUCCGGAAUUAUUGGGCGUAAAGAGCUCGUAGGUGGUUCGUCACGUCGGAUGUGAAAAUCUGGGGCUCAACCCCAGACCUGCAUUCGAUACGGGCGAUCUAGAGUGUGGUAGGGGAGACUGGAAUUCCUGGUGUAGCGGUGGAAUGCGCAGAUAUCAGGAGGAACACCAAUGGCGAAGGCAGGUCUCUGGGCCAUUACUGACACUGAGGAGCGAAAGCGUGGGGAGCGAACAGGAUUAGAUACCCUGGUAGUCCACGCCGUAAACGGUGGGCACUAGUUGUGGGAACCUUCCACGGUUUCUGCGACGCAGCUAACGCAUUAAGUGCCCCGCCUGGGGAGUACGAUCGCAGGAUUAAAACUCAAGGAAUUGACGGCUGAGACUGACGAGCACAGGAGGUAGAG